GGCUGUAGCUCAGUGGUAGAACAUCUGCUUUGAAUGCAGAAGGUGCCACAUUCAAUCCCUGGGGUCACCC